rnacentral:rRNA from 1 species
CCUACGGGUGGCAGCAGUGGGGAAUAUUGGGCAAUGGGCGCAAGCCUGACCCAGCAACGCCGCGUGAAGGAAGAAGGCUUUCGGGUUGUAAACUUCUUUUAAGAGGGAAGAGCAGAAGACGGUACCUCUUGAAUAAGCCACGGCUAACUACGUGCCAGCAGCCGCGGUAAUACGUAGGUGGCAAGCGUUGUCCGGAUUUACUGGGUGUAAAGGGCGUGCAGCCGGGAAGACAAGUCAGAUGUGAAAUCCCGGGGCUCAACCCCGGAACUGCAUUUGAAACUGUUUUUCUUGAGUGUCGGAGAGGUCAUCGGAAUUCCUUGUGUAGCGGUGAAAUGCGUAGAUAUAAGGAAGAACACCAGUGGCGAAGGCGGAUGACUGGACGGCAACUGACGGUGAGGCGCGAAAGCGUGGGGAGCAAACAGGAUUAGAUACCCGUGUAGUC